rnacentral:rRNA from 1 species
AUGUGUAGUCCAAGAAUCUUGAUUGAUGUCCAAAAGAUGUUCGAUAAGCUUAGGAGUUUCCCGGAGAAACCCUUGGAUUUAGGUCUGAAGCUGAAGAACUACAAGGUCAAAGAGGCAGCAAGUCUUACGCCCCAAAUAAGCUCGCAGUUCAUCCUUGCUGAAGUUCACUGUACUCCAUUCCUCGGGUUGGCAGGGCCAGAUGCUGCACUGAAGUUCUUGGGUCAUACACAGUCGCUGGUCAACUACUGGCUUGUGCAAAACGGUUUCAGUAUUGGUAUUGGAGAUGCAAUUGCAGAUGCAGAUACUAUGGAGAAGAUUGAUGAGACAAUUGGAACAACUAAGAAUGAUGCUUAUGAUGAUGCUGGGAGUAGUGCUCAGAAGGGUUUGUCUGAGAGCAACAAUUUGAAAGCCAUGGUCACUGCAGGCUUGAAUGGCAAUUUCAUUAAUAUUUCACAAGCGACUGCUUGUCUUGAGCAGCAGAAAAUUGAGGGCAAGUGGAUUCCUUUUGGUUUUGUUGAUCGUACAUUGCCCCACUUUACGAAAGAUGACUACGGCCCCGGAAGUCGUGGGUUUGUUGGGAACUCUUACCUUCGAGGUCUGACACUACAGGAGUUUUUCUUCCAUGCUAUGGUUGCUAGAGAAGGUUGGAUUGAGGCUGCUGUGAAACCUCCGAGACAGGAUACAACGGAGGCCCGUAAAGGCUAUGGAUGGCAUCAUGAUGAAAUGUGA